ensembl:lincRNA
GCGCGGGCUGCAGGGGGGCCGAGCGGCGGCCGGGAGCCUGCGCUGCGGGGGGCGACCGAAGGGGUGACUGAAGUCCUGGAGCCAUCCCACGCCAGCCCGCCCUGGGAGUGCCAGGGAAAAAAAGGAGUGGAAAUACCUCCACCCAAGUGUUCUCUUCUUUUUUCUCCUGAGGUUCCAGCGUCUGGAAGGUAUCGGUUCCCACGUGGAUCUGCCAGUGCGCAAUGCCCUUAGCAGGCUCCUGGACUCUCCCCAGACCUAAGGGUCCGCGGGGGGGGGGCCGUGGGAUGGCUCCAGACUGGGGAGGUGUGGACUGAGGUGUGGCCUGAGGGUUCAGGGCCACACGGAGACCACCGGAGUGGGAUAUUGCAGGGUCGGCACCUGCUGUCCUAAAUGUCCCCUCAAUUCAGUCCUAAACAAGGCAGAAACUACCAGAUCAUCCUACAACUCCACGACUUGGAAGUUCUUACAAAAGCAACAGAACUUUGGCAACUCCUAAAGUCUUCCAGACACAUCCUGGACGUAUGUAUUCGGAAUUCCCAAGCUUUUACAAGACAGAUCCCGGCCAGCAGGGACUAUUCUGCAGUUCAUUCUAUCAUCCUAUAGUGUGUGCAUACUAAUGUGUCGAGCUCCUUGCUAGGCUCUGGAGAAACGGCCCUGCAAGAAUAGGACAGCUCUGCCUUCUGAAGCAAACCACAUCUGUGGGUGUUCUCCAGAAGUUCACCUGCCUUUGACUUGAAAUAGUAACUAGUACCUACUGCCUCAAUAAAGAGGGUUUGCUGUAUCUCUCACCCCACUCUUUUACUUUACUGACAUAAUAGAUCUUGGGUUUUCUUAAGAACUUUUCUUAACUGCCAUCUGCAGGGGACAGUUCUUAAUUCUUAUUCACCUUGACCAGUCUACUACAUCAUUUUCUACUACAGAUCUACUACACCUGCUUUCUUCUAAUCUCCUUCCUCUAACCUACUCUUCUUUGCCGGCUUGGCUCUUUGGCUCUUAAAUGUUGAGCUUUCCAAGAGAACCACCCCUGAACUUCUUUCCUGAAUACAGCCUGUGUCAUGGUCUCAUUCCCAUUCCCACAAUGUCAACUGCUACCUAUAUCCUGAGGAGUCCUAAAUAUUUCCAGCUCCUGGGAGGCAGGCCUAAACACUAAUUCUGGACAGGCCCAUCUAGCUUGCAAAAUCCAAACCUUAUCCCAAUACCUCCUGUCUUUCCACCACGUCAUCCACACUAGAAAUCUGAGGUCAUCCACAACUCCUAACUCAUCCCCUCUGUGGCAAUUUGAUAUUAUUUUUGAAUCCCCAAAAAAGAGAAAAAUUAUGUUUGUAAACUGGUCUCUUCCUCUGGGUGUAAUACCCUUUGGUUGUAUUAAAUUCAAAGGUUUUAAGUUUACUUAAUUAAAAGAUUAGGGCUUUGAUUUGACCACAGCAGUAGGGCAUGACUCAGGGUUGAGUCCCAACCCCUUGAUGGGCCAAUAUAAGUGGAAGGACUCUCAAGACAAACAGGAAGAGAGAGAGCUCCAUAGACACGGAAGAAGAGAGAAAUUUGAUCCUACCGCCCAGGAAAGAGAGAUGAGCCAUUCCCUGAUAGCUCGCAGCUGAAGAGAACAGAGCGCUGAGCCUCUAGUAAGGCCUGUAAAGAAAUGAGUCCUAUGCCAGACUGAUCUAGGAAGCCCUGAGAGACCAGGCAGAGAUCGCGCGCCAUCUUGCUUCAACGCGUGGCAACUGACUUUGUUGGACUCUUUAGGGUCUUGGGACGGUAAGCUUUUACCCAAAUAAAUACCCUAUAUAAAAGCCAGCAGAUUGCUGGUACUUUGCAUCAGCACCCCUUUGGCAGAUUAAUACAUUCUACAUCUAAUCUGUCACCAAGUGUCAUCAAGUUAACCUCCUAAAUAUCUUUUGACUCUACAUUCCACUCUUCAACCCUCAGCCAAACUUUAUUCUAGCUCUCCUCAUAUUAUUAGGAGCCUCUUAAUUAAUCUUCUGUCCUCUACCCUUUCCCCCUGUGCCAGAAUUGUCUUUCUAAAAUAUAAGUCUGAAUUUGUUCUUUAAAAAUUCUCCAGUGACUCCCUAAACAUGGGCCUCUUUGGUGUGGCAGUGAGGCUCUUUCUCUAUCAUCUGUCCACUCACCUUGUCAUUGAUCACUACCUUCCACACCAAUGCACCUCAUGUUCCAGUUUUAACAAGUCAAGCCUGCCAUUCUCCUUCGUGUCUCCUCGCUUUCCCUCAUUUUGUUCUCCCUGUCAAACUAGCUAACGCUGAGGGCUUUCCAUGUGCCCAGCACUGUUCUCAGCCCCGUGACACAUACUAACUCAAUCAGCACGUUAACCCUGUGAGCCAUGCCCAUUGAGUAUGCCCACACUACAGAGCUGGAAACUGAAGCACAGAGAGGAUCUAUAACAAGACCAGGUUUCACAGCUAGUAAGCGGCAGAGUUGGGAUUUUAAUCCAGAUAAUCUAGCCACAAAGCCUGAUCUCCUAAUCAUGGUACUGUAUUUCCUACCAAUAUCUCAGGAUUCAAAUCAAAGACCAUCCUCUCUGUGACUGGCUCCUGACAUCAUCCCUGGAUUUCCGCAUUUAGGCAUGCUCCUUUGGCACUUCUAUGAUACUUUGUAUAUACUUCAAUUGCAUUUACAACAUUGUGUGGUAAUGAUUUGUCUAUAUGACCACCUUCCCUCACCCCUGGAUCUUCCAGGCUUGAGACACA